rnacentral:rRNA from 1 species
UGGUCGAGUCGGCCUGCGCGGAAGAUGUAACGGGGCUAAACCAUGCACCGAAGCUGCGGCAGCGACGCUUAUGCGUUGUUGGGUAGGGGAGCGUUCUGUAAGCCUGUGAAGGUGUGCUGUGAGGUAUGCUGGAGGUAUCAGAAGUGCGAAUGCUGACAUAAGUAACGAUAAAGCGGGUGAAAAGCCCGCUCGCCGGAAGACCAAGGGUUCCUGUCCAACGUUAAUCGGGGCAGGGUGAGUCGACCCCUAAGGCGAGGCCGAAAGGCGUAGUCGAUGGGAAACAGGUUAAUAUUCCUGUACUUGGUGUUACUGCGAAGGGGGGACGGAGAAGGCUAUGUUGGCCGGGCGACGGUUGUCCCGGUUUAAGCGUGUAGGCUGGUUUUCCAGGCAAAUCCGGAAAAUCAAGGCCGAGGCGUGAUGACGAGGCACUACGGUGCUGAAGCAACAAAUGCCCUGCUUCCAGGAAAAGCCUCUAAGCAUCAGGUAACAUCAAAUCGUACCCCAAACCGACACAGGUGGUCAGGUAGAGAAUACCAAGGCGCUUGAGAGAACUCGGGUGAAGGAACUAGGCAAAAUGGUGCCGUAACUUCGGGAGAAGGCACGCUGAUACGUAGGUGAAGCGACUUGCUCGUGGAGCUGAAAUCAGUCGAAGAUACCAGCUGGCUGCAACUGUUUAUUAAAAACACAGCACUGUGCAAACACGAAAGUGGACGUAUACGGUGUGACGCCUGCCCGGUGCCGGAAGGUUAAUUGAUGGGGUUAGCGCAAGCGAAGCUCUUGAUCGAAGCCCCGGUAAACGGCGGCCGUAACUAUAACGGUCCUAAGGUAGCGAAAUUCCUUGUCGGGUAAGUUCCGACCUGCACGAAUGGCGUAAUGAUGGCCAGGCUGUCUCCACCCGAGACUCAGUGAAAUUGAACUCGCUGUGAAGAUGCAGUGUACCCGCGGCAAGACGGAAAGACCCCGUGAACCUUUACUAUAGCUUGACACUGAACAUUGAGCCUUGAUGUGUAGGAUAGGUGGGAGGCUUUGAAGUGUGGACGCCAGUCUGCAUGGAGCCGACCUUGAAAUACCACCCUUUAAUGUUUGAUGUUCUAACGUGGACCCGUGAUCCGGGUUGCGGACAGUGUCUGGUGGGUAGUUUGACUGGGGCGGUCUCCUCCUAAAGAGUAACGGAGGAGCACGAAGGUUGGCUAAUCCUGGUCGGACAUCAGGAGGUUAGUGCAAUGGCAUAAGCCAGCUUGACUGCGAGCGUGACGGCGCGAGCAGGUGCGAAAGCAGGUCAUAGUGAUCCGGUGGUUCUGAAUGGAAGGGCCAUCGCUCAACGGAUAAAAGGUACUCCGGGGAUAACAGGCUGAUACCGCCCAAGAGUUCAUAUCGACGGCGGUGUUUGGCACCUCGAUGUCGGCUCAUCACAUCCUGGGGCUGAAGUAGGUCCCAAGGGUAUGGCUGUUCGCCAUUUAAAGUGGUACGCGAGCUGGGUUUAGAACGUCGUGAGACAGUUCGGUCCCUAUCUGCCGUGGGCGCUGGAGAACUGAGGGGGGCUGCUCCUAGUACGAGAGGACCGGAGUGGACGCAUCACUGGUGUUCGGGUUGUCAUGCCAAUGGCACUGCCCGGUAGCUAAAUGCGGAAGAGAUAAGUGCUGAAAGCAUCUAAGCACGAAACUUGCCCCGAGAUGAGUUCUCCCUGACCCUUUAAGGGUCCUGAAGGAACGUUGAAGACGACGACGUUGAUAGGCCGGGUGUGUAAGCGCAGCGAUGCGUUGAGCUAACCGGUACUAAUGAACCGUGAGGCUUAACCUUACAACGCCGAAG